CACCUUUUUGUCCUGUUCCGGCUUCCACAGAUUGGACGAGGCCCACCCACCUUGGGGAGGGGCCAGCUGCUGUGUUCAGUCCGCCAUUGCAAACACGAAGCUCUUCCAGAAACGCCCUCACAGACACCCCGGAAGUCACGUACCCACUCUGUAGGUGCCCCGGGGCACAGGCAAGCGGACGAGCCAGUUAUCCCUCAGAGCUCCUGCUGCCUCGCCCGCUUUCUCUCGGAAACGUGAAGUGUGGCCUCAGCUGAAAGUGAGGUGGGCCUCAUUCAAUCAGUUGAAUUCUUCAAGAGAGAAAAACUGAAGUCCCUUAGAAGGAAAGAGUUCUGCCUUCAGACUGUCUUUGAACUUAAGACUGUAGCGUCGACUCCUGCCGGAAUUUCCAGCCUGCUGGCCAGCUCUGCAGAUUCACACUUGCCAGCCUCCACAAUCGCAGCUGAGGCGGAGGAACCCUAAGGGCUCAUUGAGAUCAUGGAUUUGCCCUUCUAUGCAUUGAUGGAGCACCUGCUGCCCACAGCGUCUGUAUUUGGUGCUGGGAUGCUGAGGACACUGAGAUCUUCAAACAGAGGCUGCCACUCUAAGCAAACAGAUCCCGAGCCCUGGACUCUGAAGCUUGGGCCCAGUUCUCCUUUUCUCCGGGUUUCAGAUCCCACUGUGAAGUGAGGGGGCCCUUCUGAUUCAGGACCCGGGGAAGCCAGGGGCAUGAGCAUCGGUGCCUCUUCUCUAUUUCAAGGACCCUUCUGGGUGUAAAGUUCUCUGAGAUGCCUUACAUGGAUUCCCACCACUGCAAGAUAACCAUCGUAUGUAAAGUGUUAUGACCAGCAGAGCGUAAUUGAAGUGCAUUCCAGAGGGAAAGACAGCGGCUCAGAUAAUCAUAGAGCACCAACUCUAUCUGCACCAUGGAUUUUGCAA
rnacentral:lncRNA from 10 species